rnacentral:tRNA from 2 species
GUUGUUAUAGCUCAACGGUAGAGCGAAAAGCUGUUAACUUUCAGACCCUGGUUCAACUCCAGGUAACGACU